rnacentral:lncRNA from 1 species
ACUUUCAUAUGCAGCCGGACAUGGUGUAUUUGUGUUUCUGAGGUUAUUGUACAAGACGAAUUGGGUGGGGCCGGCGAGGCACAGGGACUGGAACAGAACUGCACAAAGGAAGAGGGAAGCUGGAAAAUACCAAUCACAGAUAGGAAGGACUCUGUUCCCAAGAUAUCUUCAUCCAGCAAUCACGAUCUAGGCACUGCAAGCUGCAUUUACUGCAUUUCAACUCUCACAAACUGUCAUAAGUUUAGAGACUACAGCUUA